ACAAAGUGUGGGAAGCAGAAGGGUUGUUUAGGUGGAAAGAUAGGACGAUUUUAAGUGGUUCGUUUUCAGGAAAUUUGCAAGAAGCUGAGAUGUUAAUAAAUGGAUAACACCCAAAGUGUAAACUUUUACUGCACCGUGCUCUGCUCUCUCCAAUUUACUUCAAGUAUUGAAAGAUUUAUUCACAAUCUUCAUGAAUUAACUUUUGAAGUCAUUGUUCAUUUUAACAAUAAGGAGCUUGGUCAGGCCCACAAUGGGACAGUCAAGUGAAAGAAGGGACCCAACAUAUAAUUUGAUCUUGGAUCUGUGGAUAGGUUGGCUGAUGCCUUAACCACUUCAGUUGUCUGGCUAGCAUCACAAAGAUUAUAAUUGUUUAUCUGCAGUAUAUAUUAACUGAAAGAGUUUCAGUUUGUUUGACUUAUUUUGAGUAAAUGGAUGGAGCUAAAAAUAUAGUUCUGGUAUCAAAUUAAAGCUUUUACCCUAUGGAAGAAGCUGAAGAGAGAUUUGAGAAAGGUUCAAUUAUUUGGACAUGGUAAAGUGGCAAAGGUAUGAUUUAAGUGUAUGGGACAAAUGUAUUGGGUCCACCUGUCUAUAUAUUUUAAUCUGAGCAAUUUUUUGCAUUUUGCAAUUUCAUUAUUGUAAAUACUGAGCUUAAUAAAUCUACAUUUUAGUCACUAAGGCUAUUGUUUUUAUCACCCUCUUCCAAUUCAACCUCACCAAUUUCCCACCCCUUCAAAAGCCCAAGCAUUGCAGACACAUGCAGCUAAUAUAUAUAUAUAUAUAUGUGUGUGUGUGUGUAAGGGUGGACUUUCAACACGUUUUUAUUCAAAACAAAGAAACAGACUGAAUUCUGAAGAUGACAUGAAAUUGACUGUCAUUUGCUUAUUGUAAAAGAGGAUCACAAUUCAUAAAA